rnacentral:rRNA from 1 species
AAGCUUGCUUGUUGGGGUUGUAGGACACUCUAUACGGAGUUACAAAGGACGACAUUAGACGAAUCAUCUGGAAAGAUGAAUCAAAGAAGGUAAUAAUCCUGUAGUCGAAAAUGUUGUCUCUCUUGAGUGGAUCCUGAGUACGACGGAGCACGUGAAAUUCCGUCGGAAUCUGGGAGGACCAUCUCCUAAGGCUAAAUACUCUCUAGUGACCGAUAGUGAACCAGUACCGUGAGGGAAAGGUGAAAAGCACCCCGGAAGGAGAGUGAAAUAGAACCUGAAACCGUGUGCUUACAAGUAGUCAGAGCCCGUUAAUGGGUGAUGGCGUGCCUUUUGUAGAAUGAACCGGCGAGUUACGAUUUGAUGCAAGGUUAAGCAGUAAAUGUGGAGCCGUAGCGAAAGCGAGUCUGAAUAGGGCGUUUAGUAUUUGGUCGUAGACCCGAAACCAGGUGAUCUACCCUUGGUCAGGUUGAAGUUCAGGUAACACUGAAUGGAGGACCGAACCGACUUACGUUGAAAAGUGAGCGGAUGAACUGAGGGUAGCGGAGAAAUUCCAAUCGAACCUGGAGAUAGCUGGUUCUCUCCGAAAUAGCUUUAGGGCUAGCCUCAAGUGAUGAUUAUUGGAGGUAGAGCACUGUUUGGACGAGGGGCCCCUCUCGGGUUACCGAAUUCAGACAAACUCCGAAUGCCAAUUAAUUUAACUUGGGAGUCAGAACAUGGGUGAUAAGGUCCGUGUUCGAAAGGGAAACAGCCCAGACCACCAGCUAAGGUCCCAAAAUAUAUGUUAAGUGGAAAAGGAUGUGGCGUUGCCCAGACAACUAGGAUGUUGGCUUAGAAGCAGCCAUCAUUUAAAGAGUGCGUAAUAGCUCACUAGUCGAGUGACACUGCGCCGAAAAUGUACCGGGGCUAAACAUAUUACCGAAGCUGUGGAUUGUCCUUUGGACAAUGGUAGGAGAGCGUUCUAAGGGCGUUGAAGCAUGAUCGUAAGGACAUGUGGAGCGCUUAGAAGUGAGAAUGCCGGUGUGAGUAGCGAAAGACGGGUGAGAAUCCCGUCCACCGAUUGACUAAGGUUUCCAGAGGAAGGCUCGUCCGCUCUGGGUUAGUCGGGUCCUAAGCUGAGGCCGACAGGCGUAGGCGAUGGAUAACAGGUUGAUAUUCCUGUACCACCUAUAAUCGUUUUAAUCGAUGGGGGGACGCAGUAGGAUAGGCGAAGCGUGCGAUUGGAUUGCACGUCUAAGCAGUAAGGCUGAGUAUUAGGCAAAUCCGGUACUCGUUAAGGCUGAGC